AGUGAACGCUGGCGGUAGGCCUAACACAUGCAAGUCGAACGGCAGCACAGUAAGAGCUUGCUCUUACGGGUGGCGAGUGGCGGACGGGUGAGGAAUACAUCGGAAUCUACUUUUUCGUGGGGGAUAACGUAGGGAAACUUACGCUAAUACCGCAUACGACCUACGGGUGAAAGCAGGGGAUCUUCGGACCUUGCGCGAUUGAAUGAGCCGAUGUGAGAUUAGCUAGUUGGCGGGGUAAAGGCCCACCAAGGCGACGAUCCGUAGCUGGUCUGAGAGGAUGAUCAGCCACACUGGAACUGAGACAAGGUCCAGACUCCUACGGGAGGCAGCAGUGGGGAAUAUUGGACAAUGGGCGCAAGCCUGAUCCAGCCAUACCGCGUGGGUGAAGAAGGCCUUCGGGUUGUAAAGCCCUUUUGUUGGGAAAGAAAAGCAGCAGGUUAAUACCCCGCUGUUCUGACGGUACCCAAAGAAUAAGCACCGGCUAACUUCGUG
rnacentral:rRNA from 1 species